GGGAUAGUAGCUCAGAUGGUAGAGCGCUUGCUUAGCAUGCAAGAGGCAGCGGGAUCGAUGCCCGCCUGUUCCA
rnacentral:tRNA from 1 species